UGGGUCACAUAGAAGGCGCCCAAAUUAACAUCGUUGGCGAUUCAUAGCUUUCCAAAGCAACUUUGGCUUCAAAUCUUAUCACCACCAGAUUUAUUUUCCAUUUCCCGCACUUCGAAAUCUUCAUGUCGCGUACACGCAACAUGAUCGUUGCUACAGGCUUACUAGCUUUUGCAAGUGCAGGUUUAGCGUUUCCCUUUUACAUGGCGUCUAGAUCAUCAAAGGGACCCGUUAUUGAUUCAUCGAAACCACUGCCACCUCAAGCAACUUUUCGAGGACCUUAUAUCAAUACUGGAUCACGUGACGUUGGACCCGACUUCCAGUCAUAUUCUAAGAAAUAAUAUUUAGGUAUUCUUAUAAGACGUACUGUAUACUGAAUUAAUUAUGCCGAUCCCGAAAGAUGAAUGUAGUCGGUGUUGAAUUUGCAUGAGUCGGGUUAAUAAUGCUUGAAAUGUUAUGGUCUCAAUUAUACGGUUCU